AGGUUAAGCUAAUAAGAGCACACGGAGGAUGCCUAGGCGCCAGGAGCCGACGAAGGACGUGGCGAACAACGAAACUGCCUCGGGGAGCUGUAAGCAAGCUUUGAUCCGGGGGUGUCCGAAUGGGGAAA
rnacentral:rRNA from 1 species